rnacentral:rRNA from 1 species
UGGGGAAUAUUGCACAAUGGAGGGAACUCUGAUGCAGCGACGCCGCGUGAGUGAUGAAGGAAUUCGUUUCGUAAACCUCUGUUCUAUGGGAAGAAAAGGACUGUACCAUAGGAGAAAGCUCCGGCUAAAUACGUGCCAGCAGCCGCGGUAAUACGUAUGGAGCGAGCGUUGUCCGGAAUUAUUGGGCGUAAAGGGUGCGCAGGCGGCUUUACAAGUUGGAUGUGAAAUAUUGUGGCUCAACCACAAACGUGCAUCCAAAACUGCAAAGCUUGAGUUAAGGAGAGGUAAGUGGAAUUCCUGGUGUAGCGGUGGAAUGCGUAGAUAUCAGGAGGAAUACCGGUGGCGAAGGCGACUUACUGGACUUAAACUGACGCUCAGGCACGAAAGCGUGGGGAGCAAACAGG